rnacentral:rRNA from 1 species
AGGACGAACGCUGGCGGCGUGCUUAACACAUGCAAGUCGAGCGGUAAGGCUCCUUCGGGAGUACACGAGCGGCGAACGGGUGAGUAACACGUGAGCAAUCUGCCCUUCUCAUCGGAAUAACCAUUGGAAACGAUGGCUAAUGCCGAAUAUGACUUCGGACCACAUGGUCUGAAGUGGAAAGCUCCGGCGGAGAAGGAUGAGCUCGCGGCCUAUCAGCUUGUUGGUGAGGUAAUAGCUCACCAAGGCGAUGACGGGUAGCCGGCCUGAGAGGGUGACCGGCCACACUGGGACUGAGACACGGCCCAGACUCCUACGGGAGGCAGCAGUGGGGAAUAUUGGACAAUGGGCGAAAGCCUGAUCCAGCAACGCCGCGUGAGGGAUGACGGCCUUCGGGUUGUAAACCUCUUUCAGCAGGGACGAAGCGAAGUGACGGUACCUGCAGAAGAAGGACCGGCAACUACGCGCCAGCAGCCGCGGU